rnacentral:rRNA from 1 species
GACGAACGCUGGCGGCGUGCUUAACACAUGCAAGUCGAACGAUGAACCCGGAGCUUGCCCUGGGGGAUUAGUGGCGAACGGGUGAGUAACACGCGAGUAACCUGCCCUUGACUCUGGGAUAAGCGUUGGAAACGACGUCUAAUACCGGAUAGGACCUUGGAUCGCAUGAUCUGGGGUGGAAAGUUUCUUCGGUCUGGGAUGGACUCGCGGCCUAUCAGCUUGUUGGUGGGGUAAUGGCUCACCAAGGCGUCGACGGGUAGCCGGCCUGAGAGGGUGACCGGCCACGCUGGGACUGAGACACGGCCCAGACUCCUGCGGGAGGCAGCAGUGGGGAAUAUUGCACAAUGGGCGAAAGCCUGAUGCAGCAACGCCGCGUGCGGGAUGACGGCCUUCGGGUUGUAAACAGCUUUUAGUAGGGAAGAAGGGCUUCGGCUUGACGGUACCUGCAGAAAAAGGACCGGCUAACUACGU